rnacentral:rRNA from 1 species
CUCACCAAGUCAUUGACGCGUAGCUGUACUGAGAGGUAGAACAGCCACAAUGGGACUGAGACACGGCCCAUACUCCUACGGGAGGCAGCAGUAGGGAAUUUUUCACAAUGGGCGAAAGCCUUAUGAAGCAAUGCCGCGUGAACGAUGAAGGUCUAUAAGAUUGUAAAGUUCUUUUAUUUGGGAAGAACCACUAAAAUAGGAAAUGAUUUUAGUUUGACUGUACCAUUUGAAUAAGUAUCGGCUAACUAUGUGCCAGCAGCCGCGGUAAUACAUAGGAUGCAAGCGUUAUCCGGAUUUACUGGGCGUAAAACGAGCGCAGGCGGAUUUGUAAGUUUGGUAUGAAAUCUANAUGCUUAACGUCUAGCUGUAUCAAAAACUACNAAUCUAGAGUGUAGCAAGAGUUGGGGAACUCCAUGUGGAGCGGUAAAAUGCGUAGAUAUAUGGAA